CGAGCCUGCAAUUUCGAUCCGCACUCAGCAAAACGACGAGAUAGAGAAGAAACUUACCGUCUAACAAAUCGACGUCACUUCCUUUUACACGUAUACUUAUAUAUAGUAUACGCGUAUAAAUACAUAGAAAGGAUAUGUAAUGCGAAAGUAAAAUUUAUAUUAAAAGAGAGAAAUCUUGUUCGACGACAUGAUUGGAGUUAUUAAGAAAUUUUGAAUUUGGAAUCAUGAUUGACAAUUCGACGUUGAUGAAAAUAUUUUUUUCCAUAGAACUAUGAAACGAACGAUAAGUGACUUAGAACGAUUACGGAUGUGGCUUCGUCGAGCCGAAACGAAAUAACAAGACAUUGCCAUCAGCCAGAAUGUCCAUUAUCUUUGUAACACAAACGUUACUUCGGUUCGAUGGAUGUAACAACGACGUUUAACGAUUUCGUUUAAUCGUCCCUUAGGU